ACUCCUACGGGAGGCAGCAGUGGGGAAUAUUGCACAAUGGGCGCAAGCCUGAUGCAGCCAUGCCGCGUGUGUGAAGAAGGCCUUCGGGUUGUAAAGCACUUUCAGCGGGGAGGAAGGCGAUACGGAUAACAACCGUGUUGAUUGACGUUACCCGCAGAAGAAGCACCGGCUAACUCCGUGCCAGCAGCCGCGGUAAUACGGAGGGUGCAAGCGUUAAUCGGAAUUACUGGGCGUAAAGCGCACGCAGGCGGUCUGUCAAGUCGGAUGUGAAAUCCCCGGGCUCAACCUGGGAACUGCAUUCGAAACUGGCAGGCUUGAGUCUUGUAGAGGGGGGUAGAAUUCCAGGUGUAGCGGUGAAAUGCGUAGAGAUCUGGAGGAAUACCGGUGGCGAAGGCGGCCCCCUGGACAAAGACUGACGCUCAGGUGCGAAAGCGUGGGGAGCAAACAGGAUUAGAAACCCGUGUAGUCCCA
rnacentral:rRNA from 1 species